rnacentral:rRNA from 1 species
CAAUAGCGUAUAUUAAAGUUGUUGCGGUUAAAAAGCUCGUAGUUGGAUUUCUGCCGAGGACGACCGGUCCGCCCUCUGGGUGAGUAUCUGGCUCGGCCUGGGCAUCUUCUUGGAGAACGUAGCUGCACUUGACUGUGUGGUGCGGUAUCCAGGACUUUUACUUUGAGGAAAUUAGAGUGUUUCAAGCAGGCUUACGCCUUGAAUACAUUAGCAUGGAAUAAUAAGAUAGGACUUUGGUGCUAUUUUGUUGGUUGAGCCUAAAGUAAUGAUUAAUAGGGAUAGUUGGGGGCACCUGUAUUGCGUUGUCAGAGGUGAAAUUCUUGGAUUUACGCAAGACAAACAGCUGCGAAAGCGUCUGCCAAGGAUGUUUUCAUUAA